GCAGGGUGUCCCUUUUGUGUGCUUUGCAAGCCUUACAGCAAUUUGAAAAAUGCAAAACUGCAGAGGAAAAUGGCAGGCAGUGAUAAUCUCUGCUCCCAGAGCUAUUUUUGGUAGCACCUGUGAAGAGCUAGGAAUACCACAGAGGCAGGAGGGAAUGGCCUCUGCAGUCAGGAGCGUGCACUAGUGACAGCCGGAAGGACAAGAAGAAAUUACAUCUUUAUUUUUUGUUCAGCUGGAUCAGUGGGUCCUCGGCCAAUGCUAGAAAUAGAGUUCAUGAGGUCCUUUCCUGACAAUUCAGAUUUCACCAGCUGUAAGAUGAGGAUCGCGUUAGUUAUGCAGACUUCACCCAUGAAGGAAACUGGAGGAGAGCUAUUGGUUAAUUUUUCUAAAUAGCUCUAAGGCUAUAAAGCACCCUGUAAGUGAUAAAUACUAGUAUUUUUAACAUGGCAUUUUAGAUGGCCCAGACAGUUUCUCCACUGAAAGGUCCUGCAAUGUCAGCCAUCAAUUUACCAACAUGAAUCUAUCAGGACACUAAUACAUCAGCUUCUAGCUAUGCUAUGUCCUCCCACUGCAGUUACCUUGACAAAUCACUCAGUUCAGAGGCACUGCAUCAAACAUUAUUUCUCUGAUGGGGAAACUAGGAUACUUCAUAAAUGCUGUGCUUGGUGGCAGAUGUAGGCCUGUCAGGGCAAAACAGGAGCACUCCUGGGUGCUGCAGAGAGGGCCAUUGCCUAAAGUGACCGGGAGGUGAUCUGAAACAUUGCCCCUCAUCUCUUCAGAAAGGUGUAUUUCAGAGGAUGCUCUAAAUAAGGCUGAAGUAAAGAGUGCACCGUGUGACCCUGGGAGCUGAAGGAAGGGAAGAGGACCCCAAAGCUGCCCCUUUACUUCAGCAGCUCAGAAGGCCAAGCUGUAAUUUCAGUUCUGGGGAAACUUUAAUGUUCAGGGUUUGAGGAAUGGCAGGUGUUGCUAGCUGUGGCCGCACUGCAUCUUCGCGCGGAGGGCACCGACACCAGGCAGCAUUGCUUCCUUCGUGUUUCAUUGCCCCCCACGUGCCCUGCCAGGCUGGCCCAGGCAAGCUGCUGCUGCUCAGGAGUGAUCCUCAGGUGUCUGCAGCUCCAAAUUAGACUCUGGAUCUCAGGUAGCUCCUCGGAGGCAGUCACAGAUGUUUAAGACAAAAAUACCAGUCUGAAAAGAAGCCAAGGAGCCUGUUUUGGUUGCUGCCUGUACAUAACUAUGUGGUUAUUACAAAAGCCCUAACAUGCCACGGUCAAAGAGGAAGGCAGAAGGCAGGAUGAGAUGCUGUAAAGAGCCUUUGGCUCUGUCACAAGCCUUGAGCCUGUGGAGGAAGCUCUUUCCCUCAGAUCGGCCACCAGCUGACACUUCGGCUUGAGGAGAGGUGCCCCUGCUGCUGCGCGUGGGCCACCAAAUCGCACCCUCGGACCUUACGUGAGGGGCAGGGAGAACUGCUCUUUGGGAGAAGCCAUGUCUUUGAGAUGUGGAUGUGCCCAGGCUUCAGAUUUGAACACUUUGGAGAAGUGGUAGGUGACUGGAACAGCGCUGCUGUAACUGGGUACCUCUGACCAAGCCCAUGUAUGACUUCUGGUUGUAAGACACUUGUCUGUGUUAUACAAGAGGAGUUCAUAGAAACAAACCACAGCUGCUGCCCUCCCUGGGUCAGGAUGCAGUUUCUGGCACUAAAAUGGAGCCACCGAUUGCUUUUCUUCUCGCAAUUUUUCUCAGAGCUCAAGGAAUUAAAUGCACCAAAGCCUUAAUUUCUGAAAGACACAGCUGUUGGACCACAGUCCCUGGCCUUUCCAGAAAGUUAUGAGAGGUCAAAUGUUCCUGCCCUGAUUCUGUGGCUGCCUCAGAUGGGGAAUGCUCUGGAGCCCUGUCCUCAGGGCACAAGUGCAGUGCGUGCUCCUUGCGUCUUUCACAGCACUCCCUGGUAUUCACACUGGUGAGAUGAGCCCUGGAGUUGUGCUGACCUAGACCUCCGCUGCUGCAGAGAAGGUACCCAAAGUGCUGGAGGGAUGCAAGUGGGAAGAGGUCCAGCUUUCUGUGCACUUGGCAGUGAGUUAUGCAAGUAUCAUGAAAAGAAAUGCUCUGUCCUGAAAUGGUAGUUACUUUUAGCUUUAACUUUGUGGCCACUUCAAUGGGCAGUGGUGCUUUGCUACUACUCUUCCUUCAGCAGCUACUGGAAUGACUAGGUUUGAGAUGUGGUUAUAUAUAAAUUCAGUGCUAAAAAUGUAUCAUCUGGGCUAUGGGGGUUUUUUGUCAUUAAUCAAGAUGUCUAGCAAAACCAGCAAGGGUAACACACGAGGUUUACUCGCUGCUGAUGAGGAGGACGUCAGCUUUGCUUCCUCUUCAUGGAAACAGCCUUCAGUCAUCCUGAAGGCUGAAGCAUUGGCUGUGGGAGAGGGAAGAGGUGAAUGCCAUGGAAAUGACUUCACUGAGGAAGUGCCAUCAUGUUUAGUUUGAUUUUACUCAUAGGUGCUUGCAGUGGGUCAUCCCACAGCAGCAACGCAGAUUUUGUUCUAGUUUUGGGAGAGGAUUCUAGAGCCACAGACACUCACUUGCACCUUUUCUCAUUGCCCUUUUUUCCCCCUUGAUGCAGCUUAACGUACAAACUCCACCUUCAUUUGCUUCAGCCUUGCACGGGACAGUGGGGAAAUGAUGCCUUACCAGGGAGGGUUCACACUCAUGGUGUUGAAGUGCAGUUGAAGGUGUAAAGUGAGGCUCAUGACAGCUUAGAGGACUGCAUAGGGAACUAUCAGCCAGACUCUGUCCGAGAGCAAAUAAUAACGGUGACAGGCAACUUUCAUAAAGCUGCUUUGUUGAAUGCCAACUUCUCUUUACAGUGUAUUGUCACUGGUGCCAGCCCUGACACUUGAGGCACAGGCUUGUUACCACGGUGUAGCAUGCUUUUCUUGCUGAUAUUUUUCUGCACUUUUUCCAACUGGGAAGCAUCAGGUGGAUAUCCAACAAAAUCCACACCACCUCUGUGAGAGCUGCCCUGGAAAGAAAGGUUACAAGGUGCUUGAGGCAGAAACGCAUGGAGCACCACUUGGUACCUGCAAGCCACAUGCUUUCCUGGACUAUCCCAGGCACGUGGAGGGCGUAUGACCAUCCUCAUGGCACCUGGAGCUGAGCUGCACUUGGGAAGCACUGCGGAUGGGUACCCAGCGCUGAGCAGCCCCCUGACCAGGAGCUGGGACAGCAGGACACAGUGUGGAGCUAUGCCAUGGAGCUGUACUGGUUUGGGUUGUCCUGAUGUCAGGAGUCAGUCAUUUUGUUACACCAUGAGCUGAUUUUUGCAGCUUUCUUAGAGAUCAAGAAGCACACAGUGUUUCCUAAGGUACAUGAGAACAUUUUAGCAUGGCUUUUGCCAAUAUACAGGGCUCACAGUUUUCCAGGGCUAAGCAGGCAGUGAGGAACCUCAGCACUUAAAGGAAACGGCAGAAGACCUGCUCUCCGGUCCCCCUCCAGUAGCACAGGACUAAUGAGCUUUCAGUACAGGCCAGCUCAGUGAGUGCCACACAAAGGUGAUUAGCUCAAACAUGGUGGACCAAAGGAGCAGAUUAUUCUGACGUUUAGGACUGAACGCUGCAUUCCCAGGGAGUGUAGUGGUGAACUGGCAAAAGAAAAAUAUCAAGGCAAAGGUCCACUGUGUGAAAUGGUAAGUGAGAGAGACAACAGAAAAAAACUAGCGCAUGGCAGCACUGGAGCUGUUGCUGCUCACUGCUUUCUGGGGCCUUGGCAAGUUGUGUCCUAUGCACAAGGUCACAACAGUCUCCCAUGCUAGAUCUGCUCUAGUUGCCCUUAGUGGCCUUGGCAAGUGACCCAGAGCUGAGGCCAGAGGAGGCCUGUGGUAUCACAGUGCCAUCGAUGCCUGUCCUCUGUGGUAGGUGCUGUGCUUUCCCUUGCAACCUCAAGGUGGGUGGCUAAGAGAGGCCCAACCAAAGCAAGGGCCUGGCUCCAUUCCCCAGGGAAAAUGCUGGGGACACAGGCAGAGGCAAAUGGUGCAUCUCUAGGGUGUUAAAUAGGUCAGGGGGCCCUUUUCAGCCCCCCCCGGUCCCUGAAUUUUAACCCAUGGCUAUAGGGUUAAAUGCCUAUAGCAGCCAGGACUGCUGUGAGCCCAGGAGCUCUUGGCUCUCAAACAGAGCACUUGAAACUCAGAUCACUCACCACCAACCCAACCCUAUGAGCUACUGGCAAGGUACCCAUCUCCAGAUGAGAAGUGCUCCUCCUUGUGCGAGCUGCUCUGCAGUCAGCACCCACCUCCAGGCCUGGGUGCAGGAGUGGGGCUCUGGGCUCAGGCCUACGGUGGGGCCUGGGUGCUCGGUGUUAUUGGUUACUUUAGGGACUUCCUAACUCAAUGUAAUGGUCUUGAGGCUCCCUUUCUUUGGACCCCACAUCUCUCCAGAGAUUAAACAACCGCCCCCCCCCUCCCAAUUUAAUUUGGUGGGGGGGGGGUCCCUCUAGUUUGUCGGGGAGCUGCAAUGUAGUCAAUGACUUUUAUCAGGUAAG